AUGGAGAUGGAGGCAAAAAAGCUAGAAGCCCAGCGGGAGAAGGAACAACAACAGCUAGAAGUGAAAAGGAUGGAGAUGGAAGCCCAGCUGGAGGCAAAAAAGCUGGAGCUGGAGGAGAAAAAGCUGGAGGCUCAGCUCCGUCUGCCGACCAACAGGGGAAACGUGAGCACUCCUGUCUCCAUCACGGGAAGCUACUACUGGAGCUGGAUGCGGCAGCUUCCUGGGAAGCAGCCGGAGUGGAUGGGGUAUCAAUAUUCAACUAGCAGGUCAGACUAUGCCUCUCAUCUCCAGAGCCGAAUCACCAUCUCCACAGACCCCUCCAAGAACCAGUUCUCCCUGCAGCUGCGCUCCCUGACAGCCGCAGACACCGCCAUGUACUCCUGUGCCAGGAUGCCACCGUGA